rnacentral:rRNA from 1 species
AACGAACGCUGGCGGCAUGCCUAACACAUGCAAGUCGAACGAGACCUUCGGGUCUAGUGGCGCACGGGUGCGUAACGCGUGGGAACCUGCCCUUAGGUUCGGAAUAACUCCCCGAAAGGGGUGCUAAUACCGGAUAAUGUCUUCGGACCAAAGAUUUAUCGCCUUUGGAUGGGCCCGCGUUGGAUUAGCUAGUUGGUAGGGUAAAAGCCUACCAAGGCGACGAUUCAUAGCUGGUCUGAGAGGAUGAUCAGCAACACUGGGACUUAGACACGGCCCAGACUCCUACGGGAGGCAGCAGUGGGGAAUAUUGGACCAUGGGCGAAAGCCUGAUCCAGCAAUGCCGCGUGAGUGAUGAAGGCCUUAGGGUUGUAAAGCUCUUUUACCCGGGAUGAUAAUGACAGUACCGGGAGAAUAAGCUCCGGCUAACUCCGUG